GAUGAACGCUGGCGGCGUGCCUAACACAUGCAAGUCGAACGGAGUUAUCAUUAAGAAGUCUUCGGAUGGAUUAGUGGUAACUUAGUGGCGGACGGGUGAGUAACGCGUGGGUAACCUGCCUCAUACAGGGGGAUAACAGUUGGAAACGACUGCUAAAACCGCAUAAUAUUUCGACAUCGCAUGAUGAUGCAAUUAAAUAUUUAUCGGUAUGAGAUGGGCCCGCGUCUGAUUAGCUAGUUGGUGGGGUAAUGGCCUACCAAGGCAACGAUCAGUAGCCGGCUUGAGAGAGUGACCGGCCACAUUGGGACUGAGACACGGCCCAAACUCCUACGGGAGGCAGCAGUGGGGAAUAUUGCACAAUGGGGGAAACCCUGAUGCAGCGACGCCGCGUGAGUGAAGAAGUAUUUCGGUAUGUAAAGCUCUAUCAGCAGGGAAGAAAAUGACGGUACCUGACUAAGAAGCCCCGGCCAACUACGUGCCAGCAGCCGCAGUAAAAC
rnacentral:rRNA from 1 species